UGUCUGGUAACGCCAGACACCAACCAAUACUUGGUGUCUGGUAACGCCAGACACCAACCAAUACUUGGUGUCUGGUAACGCCAGACACCAAUCAAUAAUAAUAAAAAAAUAAGCUUAUGGUAACUGGCCGGGGUACUUGAUAUUAUAUAUGAAUAUAUACUGAGUAAUAUAUAUACUUGUAUAAACUGUAUUUACAUAUUAAAGAUCUCAGUAAAUCA